rnacentral:rRNA from 1 species
AAAGAAACCAACCGGGAUUGCCUUAGUAACGGCGAGUGAAGCGGCAAAAGCUCAAAUUUGAAAUCUGGUACCUUCGGUGCCCGAGUUGUAAUUUGGAGAGGGCAACUUUGGGGCCGUUCCUUGUCUAUGUUCCUUGGAACAGGACGUCAUAGAGGGUGAGAAUCCCGUGUGGCGAGGAGUGCGGUUCUUUGUAAAGUGCCUUCGAAGAGUCGAGUUGUUUGGGAAUGCAGCUCUAAGUGGGUGGUAAAUUCCAUCUAAAGCUAAAUAUUGGCGAGAGACCGAUAGCGAACAAGUACAGUGAUGGAAAGAUGAAAAGAACUUUGAAAAGAGAGUGAAAAAGUACGUGAAAUUGUUGAAAGGGAAGGGCAUUUGAUCAGACAUGGUGUUUUGUGCCCUCUGCUCCUUGUGGGUAGGGGAAUCUCGCAUUUCACUGGGCCAGCAUCAGUUUUGGUGGCAGGAUAAAUCCAUAGGAAUGUAGCUUGCCUCGGUAAGUAUUAUAGCCUGUGGGAAUACUGCCAGCUGGGACUGAGGACUGCGACGUAAGUCAAGGAUGCUGGCAUAAUGGUUAUAU